GUGAGGAAUUUUCCACAAUGGGCGAAAGCCUGAUGGAGCAACGCCGCGUGCAGGAUGAAGGUUUUCGGAUUGUAAACUGCUUUUGUACGUGACGAAUAUGACGGUAGCGUACGAAUAAGGAUCGGCUAACUCCGUGCCAGCAGCCGCGGUCAUACGGAGGAUCCAAGCGUUAUCCGGAUUAACUGGGCGUAAAGAGUUGCGUAGGUGGUUUGUUAAGCAAAUAGUGAAAUCGUGUGGCUCAACCAUAUCGACUAUUAUUUGAACUGGCAAACUCGAGAACGAGAGAGGUCACUGGAAUUCCCUGUGUAGGAGUGAAAUCCGUAGAUAUAGGGAGGAACACCAAUGGCGUAGGCAGGUGACUGGCUCGUUUCUGACACUGAGGCACGAAAGCGUGGGGAGCGAACGGGAUUAGAAACCCUGGUAGUCC
rnacentral:rRNA from 1 species